CCCCCUCUCUCAUCUCUUUUCCUUCUUCCGUUUCAUCACAGCCAUCAUUUCCCUACCGAGCAUCGGAUCCACCAAAUCAGAUUCAUGCUUCUCGCGGCCUCAUUGCUCUAGCUUCUCAUAUCAUCCAAUUUUCCCCAAUUUUGGAACUGGGACUGCUCCAACCGAUUUAAAUCUGGAACGGAGCAAGGUCCCCCUCUCCAUUCGUCGUUUGUUUGACGCCGACUCGACGACUCUGUUUUGUCAUUUAUUUUUAGCCACCGCCGCUACUCUCAGCCACUCAUAGCCGCCGCCAUGUUCCUUCAGAUAUUCUUCAAACCCUAAUUUGGAGCCUCCAAGCCCAUCUCUUUUUCCAUAAUUUUGGAACUGAUUGGCUGCUGAAAAGUGGAAUCCCGUAAAUCUCUCCGUAAUCAAGCGCAGUCAAGUGAUGCUAUUUCUCCUCUAGAGACCAGAGGAUUGAGUAUUUGCCAUAUCUUAGCAUUCAACUCAUCACAAGGAGCAUUGGAGAAGAAUGAGGAACUUUGCUCAUGCGCAAUAGCAGGGGACAUAAGAGUUUUCAUGUAUGAUAAGUGUACUUUCAUCUACUAUAAUUUCAUGUAGAAGCUUCUAUCCUUCUUUCAGGUACCUCAGUUCAUUCUCUUUAUUUGUUAGGUUUCCUUCAUCUAAAUCAUAAUAUUGAGAUUCAUAAUCAUAAUAGCUUUCAUCCUAGGAGGAUAUUUGUUCACCUAACUAAGAAACAAAUUUUGUAAAGCAGCACACAAAUUUGCCUUAUACAGUUUUGUUUGCUAGGGGUAUAGCAUUCCUUAGAGUAUCUUCUAUAUUAUUUUGCCUCAUAUUCUUAUACUGUUUUUACUUGCAAUUUCCAAUGAAGCAAGAACUCCCGUAACACAGUUAAGAGUUCACUAAUUUUUCUUCUACUAUUAUUGAUUUAGCCACAUAUUUCAUUUUGUGAUCUAACAUCCAGUGGUUAUCCAGAGGAGAUUUUGUGAUCAUUAUGUCAUAUGAAGAUUUGUGAUUAUUUCUUAUUGUUGGAAUGUACUAAUAUAUGCAUUGAAAAUUGUAUUAUAUUCAAUCAGAAAUGGCAAUCGAUUAUCUUAUUUUGUUGAUCCAUAUUUAAUUCCACAUGUUCUACUACAUUAAACUAUCACCAAGGUGUGUUUUCUUAUGUAAAUCAUAUUUACAAUACGUGGAUCUGUGUCUGUUUCCAGUGCUUUGAUGGAGGUUUGAUCUUUCCCAAGUGAAAUAUGAUGUGUCUGAUGAAAGGUGGAUCAAGCUUCAGAACCCAAGUAGCAAGAAGCUUCUGGGUCCUGUCAGUGAUUCUGAUAGGCACUACAACAUGGUUUAGGAUCAAAUUUAUUAUCAAAUAGAGAACUUCUUCUUAUAAAUGAUCUGACUAUUGUCUCUCUGCUAUUGUUUGAGAGCUUUAUUACCAAGAAUAUGCUUAGAAAUUUGAUUUGAUAGAUUUUGGUGGGGGAGAAGUGAUUAUUGAAGGUUUAAUCAUUGAUUCUCUCUUUGGUUUUGGCUUGCAGUUGCGGGGCUUGAGACUGAAGCAGUUGAAAGUUGAAACUACUUCCAUUUUCAGGUGGAUUGUGAUGAGUGCAAGAGAUUGUGCAGCAAAGGAGUCUCUGGUCAAUGUCAUGGGGGAGAGCAUCCUGAAAAAAGAAGGGAUACCUGAACCUAACGUUAGUUUUCUGCAAUGGCUCCAUCAAUCUUCAUUGCUUCAAGUGUUGAUAAAGUAGUUGAUCUGAAUGCCUCUAUAAAAGAAGGACCGUGUAAACUUCCUGGGAAGGGAGGGGCGACAUUGCCCCUGGAGAAGUUUCAUGUUGAAGAAAAUAUCCGCAAGUUUGCAAUGACAGGUUUACUCUUAUCGCUGAUUCGGGUGGUUACAUUCGAGACUCGCAUGUUAUCGCUCAUACCAGUGCUGCAUGUAUCAGAGGAAAACUGAUGUAGUUAUUUUUGAAUGAGCUCAAUCCAUUAAGGAAAUGGAGAAAAGCUCUCAAAUAGAUGAGUGCUACUACCAAUUGGAAAGAAGUUUCAUGGGAGAAGAUAAUCUCUACUAUGUUACAUAUUAGAACAGAAGAAUUCAAGGCAUUAAAUAGAGUUAUAUUUGAUUAGAGAAGGAGCCUUUUAGCUUAUUGGCUUUGUGGAUGUUAUAAGAAACGAGGCGAAGCAGGAUACUACUGAAACAACUUUCUUCAAGGUGUGUUAUUUGAUGAAGCCUGGGCCUGGAGGCUGAAACUGGUACUAAUAGAGAAUAAACUUGAGUAUAAUGUCAUUAUUUUUUUCAUAAAUUUAUAAAGGCAUUGUAGUUACAUUCUUAUUAGGAUUGUACUCUCAUUCUUGAACAGAGAGUGACUCAGCUACAAGAUAAGGAAGGAUCUGCAGUUGUUUUAGAGGAUAAAGCGAGAACUCAGACUAAUUAAUCUCUCUCUAUCUGUUUGUAUGUUUUAUGAGUUGGGGUUGAGAUUGUUUUUA